CUGCGUGUCAUAGUACGCAUUGUAGGCUCAUGGAUACUGAUUUGGAUUGCUGCCACCGGUCCUGCCAGAUCCUAACGUUUCCCUUUCCAGCUCCGUAGUUGUCUUUUGUUAUAGCAGACCUGUUAUUAUCCUGAUGCAUCGAUUGAUAGCAGCUAAUGAUUUCUUACCAUUUCCCUUUCCAGCUCUGUAGUUGUCUUUUGUUAUAGCAGACCUGGUAUUAUCCUGAUGCGUCGAUUGAUAGCAGCUAGCGUUUUCUUACCAUUUCCCUUUCCAGCUCCGUAGUUGUCUUUUGUUAUAGCAGACCUGUUAUUGUCCUGAUGCGUUGAUUGAUAGCAGCUAACGCUUCCUCCUGGUCUGAGCAGGCGUUCUGGAUACCGAGGAAUUGGGCAUUGUGAACAACACUUUCCGCAAGUCGCAUGGUUCAAGGCUACUGCCAGGAAU
rnacentral:lncRNA from 1 species